rnacentral:tRNA from 1 species
CGCGGGGUGGAGCAGUCUGGUAGCUCGUUGGGCUCAUAACCCAAAGGUCAGAGGUUCGAAUCCUCUCCCCGCUACCA